rfam:Puccinia triticina 1-1 BBBD Race 1 supercont2.20, whole genome shotgun sequence.
GCGUUGUUAGGCUAGCGGUAAACUGGGGCCUUGCCAUCGCGGAAUUUGGCCUCGUCAGGGGUUCGACUCCCCUACAACGCA